AAUGUCAUAUACUUGACCCGCUACACAAAAAAGCUCCAAGCGAUGAGAGAAAGCAGGUUAAUAAAUUCACUGGAUAUGUAUUUUCAAGAUUGAUAACAUAUGCCGGCGGGGAACCUCUGCAGAAAGGGGAGAACGAGAAGAAAAUUAAAUCAUCAUAUGUUAAAAUAUCAGGCCAAAAAACAAGCUAUGACUGUGCUAUCUACGUUAUGAAGUGG